rnacentral:rRNA from 1 species
CCUACGGGUCGCAGCAGUAGGGAAUCUUCGGCAAUGGACGGAAGUCUGACCGAGCAACGCCGCGUGAGUGAAGAAGGUUUUCGGAUCGUAAAGCUCUGUUGUAAGAGAAGAACGAGUGUGAGAGUGGAAAGUUCACACUGUGACGGUAUCUUACCAGAAAGGGACGGCUAACUACGUGCCAGCAGCCGCGGUAAUACGUAGGUCCCGAGCGUUGUCCGGAUUUAUUGGGCGUAAAGCGAGCGCAGGCGGUUAGAUAAGUCUGAAGUUAAAGGCUGUGGCUUAACCAUAGUACGCUUUGGAAACUGUUUAACUUGAGUGCAAGAGGGGAGAGUGGAAUUCCAUGUGUAGCGGUGAAAUGCGUAGAUAUAUGGAGGAACACCGGUGGCGAAAGCGGCUCUCUGGCUUGUAACUGACGCUGAGGCUCGAAAGCGUGGGGAGCAAACAGGAUUAGAUACCCCAGUAGUC